rnacentral:rRNA from 1 species
GACGAACGCUGGCGGCGUGCUUAACACAUGCAAGUCGAACGGAAAACGAGGGCGCUUGCUCGCUGCGGGACAGGGGCGAAGGGGUGUGAAACACGUGUGCACUCUCCUUGACAUUGGGGUAUAAGCAGGAGAAUGGAGCUAUAACAGCGGAUAAGCUCCGGGUGCGCGGCGUCGCUGGGAGGAUAGAACCGCGGGUGGGGGGGGGCUCGCGGCCUAUCCGCUUGUUGGUGGGGUAGCGGCUCCCCAAGGUGACGACGGGUAGCCGGCCUGAGAGGGUGACGGGCCACACUGGGACUGAGAUACGGCCCAGACUCCUACGGGAGGCAGCAGUGGGGAAUAUUGCACAAUGGGCGCAAGCCUGAUGCAGCAACGCCGCGUGCGGGACGACGGCCUUCGGGUUGUAAACCGCUUUUGGCAGGGACGAAGCGAAAGUGACGGUACCUGGAGAAGAAGCACCGGCUAACUACGUG